rnacentral:rRNA from 1 species
GAGUUUGAUCUUGGCUCAGAUUGAACGCUGGCGGAAUGCUUUACACAUGCAAGUCGAGCGGCAGCGCGGGGCAACCUGGCGGCGAGCGGCGAACGGGUGAGUAAUGCAUCGGGACAUGUCCAUGUCGUGGGGGAUAGCCCGGCGAAAGCCGGAUUAAUACCGCAUACGCCCGAGAGGGGAAAGUGGGGGACCGCAAGGCCUCACGCGAUUGGGUUGGCCGAUGUCCGAUUAGCUAGUUGGCGGGGUAAAGGCCCACCAAGGCGAUGAUCGGUAGCUGGUCUGAGAGGAUGAUCAGCCACACUGGGACUGAGACACGGCCCAGACUCCUACGGGAGGCAGCAGUGGGGAAUUUUGGACAAUGGGGGAAACCCUGAUCCAGCCAUUCCGCGUGAGUGAAGAAGGCCUUCGGUUGUAAGAC